rnacentral:rRNA from 1 species
UGCCGUUGCCGGCGACCGGCGCACGGGUGAGUAACACGUACGCAACCUGCCCGUGGCAGGGGGAUAAGCGGGGGAAACCCCGUCUAAUACCGCGUAACGCGGCCUAGGGACAUCCCAAGGCCGCCAAAGGGAGCAAUCCCGGCCACGGAUGGGCAUGCGGCGCAUUAGCUAGUCGGCGGGGUAACGGCCCACCGAGGCGACGAUGCGUAGGGGUUCUGAGAGGAAGGCCCCCCACACUGGUACUGAGACACGGACCAGACUCCUACGGAAGGCAGCAG